CGGGGCGUGGCCCAGUUUGGCUAGGGCACCUGAAUGGGGUUCAGGGGGUCGCUGGUUCGAGUCCAGUCGCCCCGACCA
rnacentral:tRNA from 1 species